ACGGCAGCAAAAUCACUGGAGUCCAGGGUUUUUGUCACACACACACACAGCACAGAUUUUUUUGAUUAUGUAGAUUUCUUUUCCUACUGCAGUUUCAUAUGCAAAGCAUGCAUCAGCCACAUCCAUGCUAUCUCCUAAAGCAGUCAUUCUGAAACCCAAUCUGGGGACAGUGCAGACUAAAUAAAAUUUCAUUUUGAUUUGGCCUCCCGCUGCGAAUGGGACUGCUUUGUCUCAGCCGACAGAACCAGCAAGCCAGAAAGAUUGAAGAACAAAAUGAAAGUUAGUUAAAGAAGACGUUGAAGAAACAAUAGUGUGAAAACAGCACGAAAUGUCAUUUGGUAAAUAUGCCACAGCCUCACAUAAGGAAGAGGAAAAUGGCAGUGUGGGCCAUGAUUGGCAGGUCUGGAUCCAUAGACUGUGAUUUCCAGGAUCACCCAACAGGAAUGAAGACAUUUGGAGAAGAAGCGUUUACUGAAAGGAGAUUCCUGGGCUGGAGGAAAACCAUGAUCUACAGUUCAUGUUGACAGAUAUUGUAUUUUUGGUCCUAGAUCUGACUUUUGAAAUGACUUAUCACAAAUUCAAAUUUAGCAAUCAUGAGUGAAGUACCCACGAUGUGCUAAGCAUCUACCUCUGCAGAUAGAAGAACACUUACUGUUCCUGAGCAUGGGAGGGAAUAGAAGUUCCUGGGUCCUGGCCUCACCUCAUCAGGCACUGCCAAAUUUGACACCUCCUUCCUGUUCACGGCAGUCCUUUGCGAUAGGGUAUUAGAUGCCACCAAGUAGCUGCAUAACUCACCCAUUUGGUCAGAGCCUGGGUCUAAGCCAGGUCUGACAGACUCCAAAGCAAGCCCUGUUUACAGCAUGACUGGGAUCCAGUGGACGAGGGAACUGAGCUGUCAAAACUAAGUGACUUGAUUGAGGCCAUGCAGCUGGCGAGGGGAGGACCAGGAUCUGAACCCAACUGGGUCUCCCAAGCCUGGGCCACUGAACCAUUUCACCUCUUGGAAAAACUUAAUGGUCAGAGUGGCCCACCCAGUCCAUGGACAGCAUGGAGGAUAAACUGCUUCCCUAGAAAUCCUCUCCAGCAUUCUUGCCACCACGACUUUGGGACACAUUGACCAUGAGGAGGAGCUGGUCAAUGAUGGACAGGAGUCCAGAUUAGCAGAGAUGUGGUAAUAAGGACACCGAUGCCUAAAUACUUGAAAUAUCCAAUAGGAAGCAUUCCACCUUUGUGCAAAUGCGAACCACAUCUCACCAAGUUCAGGCCAAGGCUGCCACCGGUGACGUUUUGGAAAAGAAAAAAAAAAGCGGGGGGAGAGGAGAGAAACAGAGAAGCAAGGAAUGCAGAAGAGAGCAGAGGCCACAAAAACAGCAGCAACGUGUCCUGUGUAUUCUGUUUCCUUGUAAAACUAUGAAGCAUGUUAAGGAGAUACUUCAUUUUUUGAGGAUUCAUACUCUUGUUUAUAUUAUAAUAAAAACAACCCAUGUUCUUUCUAAAAAUUUAGGCAAUGCCUUCGUGCACAUAAAAGUAAAACAAAAUCACCUGUAAUCCUACCACACGCAGAUCAGCACUUGCUAAUCUUUUCACAGGGAUCCUAAGAAUAUCCUAUUCUCUAUAGAAUAUAGUUGAUUUAUGUUACCUAAUAACUAACUGUUAACCAUUUUAAAAUUCUUCAGUUUUACAUUAUGCUAGAAAAAAGGAGCCGUCACUCUACGUGACAUUUCUGUAUAUUGGUUUAUUCAUUCAAUAAACAUUUUUUAAGUACCUA
ensembl:lncRNA LINC01102 long intergenic non-protein coding RNA 1102